rfam:Populus trichocarpa isolate Nisqually-1 chromosome 12, whole genome shotgun sequence.
GAAAAGGAUUUUAUCAAAUCCAAUUAAAAAAACUUAAAAGUAAUUU